rnacentral:rRNA from 1 species
GGACUACACGGGUAUCUAAUCCCGUUCGCUCCCCUCGCUUUCGCCCCUGAGCGUCAGGUACCAGCCAGGACACUGCCUUCGCCUUUGGUGUUCUUCCGGAUCUCUACGCAUUUCACCACUCCACCCGGAGUUCCAUGUCCCUCUCUGGCCCUCAAGUCGCGCAGUCUCGGCGGCACUCCCCUCGUUAAGCGAGGAGCUGUCACCGCUGACUUACCCAACCGCCUGCGGGCGCUUUACGCCCAAUAACUCCGGACAACGCUCGCCCCCUACGUAUUACCGCGGCUGCUGGCAC